rnacentral:rRNA from 1 species
GACGAACCGUGCGAACGUUGUUCGGAUUCACUGGGCUUAAAGGGCGCGUAGGCGGGUGAUCAAGUCAGGGGUGAAAUCCUCCAGCUUAACUGGAGAACAGCCUCUGAUACUGGCCAUCUGGAGGAAGGUAGGGGCAUGUGGAACUAAUGGUGGAGCGGUGAAAUGCGUAGAUAUCAUUAGGAACGCCGGUGGCGAAAGCGACGUGCUGGACCUUUUCUGACGCUGAUGCGCGAAAGCUAGGGGAGCGAACGAGGA